rnacentral:lncRNA from 1 species
AAAUUAAAUUCGUUUAGUUUCACUUAUAUUUGACUUUGAUUUCUAUGUAUUAUUUUUAGAUUUUUUUUCCGAAGGGAUUCUUGCCUCGGCCUGGUCUUCGUGGAAAAUCAGAUUUGUUUGAAGCUAUUCUCGGUCAGUAAUUCAAGGAAGAUAAUUUGACUUCAUCCGUCUGGUAAAUUAUUGAAUUUUUUUUAUGUUAAUGGAAACUGUUGCAGGCCAUUUUGCCCGAGGCCCAAUUAAACACAAAAUAAAAGUCCAAAUUACAGUCCAUAAAAUCCAAAACAACAAGCUCAGAACCAGGACCCAAUUACCAUUAACCUCAGCUACCCAACUACCCAAUUACAACACCCAAAGCCCAACAAAUACAAGCCCAACUACCAACACACUAACCCAAUUAGCCAAAAUCAGAAACAAAACAAUAAACCUAACCCUAUGUGUGCCGCACCUAGGGUCGGCCACUUGACCUGCCGCCACCACCGCACGUCCCAUCGGCGCCUGCACCGUUCAGCCACCUGCUCCACCUGCAAAAGAAAAGAAACACGCAACAGCCAAGACAAAAUAAUAAAAAAAAAUGCAAAUGAAAAAUAGAAAGGGAGAAUCGGCUAUAUAAGCCGAAUAUGAACUGUAACAGGGGGAUUUUUUUUUUUUUUUGUAAAAAGGAAUGCACAUCAAGAAAUCAAACAGAAUAGAGUUUUCAAAGGUUGAAUCCUAGCGAUUUCCUUUUUAUUUUCUCUUACUUAUUUGUUUUAUCUUAUUUUAUUUUAUAUUUUUUUUCUUUUGCAAAUCUAUUUCAAGUAACUAAAAAUCGAAAAUCAAAAUAAAGGGAGAGGGAACUCACCGGAAGUGGCCUUGGUUCCGUCGUCGGAGGGUCUCUCCUCCGUCGUCCAAAUCGGGUCCAAGAGGCCGAGAACCUCCCUUGUUUUCGACUCCCAUGGGUGGAGAGAGUCUUGGCUCUCAAGGACGCCGUUAAACGGGGCUGCAAAGCCCAUCCCAUCGUGUCGCCGGUCGUAAGUCGACGACGGCGUAGUUGAACGCCGGAGGAGCCCUAAGUCGGAAGAGGGGAUUGCGCGAGAGAGGGGCCAUGGGGACUCU